rnacentral:rRNA from 1 species
GACCUUUGAGAUUACUGCUCAGUAACACGUGGAUAACCUACCCUUAGGACUGGGAUAACCUUGGGAAACUGAGGAUAAUACCGGAUAGGCAAUUUUUCCUGUAAUGGUUUUUUGUUUAAAUGUUUUUUUCGCCUAAGGAUGGGUCUGCGGCCGAUUAGGUAGUUGGUUAGGUAAUGGCUUACCAAGCCGUUGAUCGGUACGGGUUGUGAGAGCAAGAGCCCGGAGAUGGAACCUGAGACAAGGUUCCAGGCCCUACGGGGUGCAGCAGGCGCGAAACCUCCGCAAUGUGAGAAAUCGCGACGGGGGGAUCCCAAGUGCCAUUCUUAACGGGAUGGCUUUUCAUUAGUGUAAAGAGCUUUUGGAAUAAGAGCUGGGCAAGACCGGUGCCAGCCGCCGCGGUAACACCGGCAGCUCUAGUGGUAACAAUUUUUAUUGGGCCUAAAGCGUCCGUAGCCGGUUUAAUAAGUCUCUGGUGAAAUCCUGUAGCUUAACUGUGGGAAUUGCUGGAGAUACUAUUAGACUUGAGACCGGGAGAGGUUAGAGGUACUCCCAGGGUAGAGGUGAAAUUCUGUAAUCCUGGGAGGACCGCCUGUUGCGAAGGCGUCUAACUGGAACGGUUCUGACGGUGAGGGACGAAAGUUAGGGGCGCGAACCGGAUUAGAUACCCGGGUAGUCCUAACUGUAAACGAUGCGGACUUGGUGUUGGGGUGGCUUUGAGCUGCUCCAGUGCCGAAGGGAAGCUGUUAAGUCCGCCGCCUGGGAAGUACGGUCGCAAGACUGAAACUUAAAGGAAUUGGCGGGGGAGCACAAU